CCUACGGGUGGCAGCAGUGAGGAAUAUUGGUCAAUGGACGAGAGUCUGAACCAGCCAAGUCGCGUGAAGGAUGACUGCCCUAUGGGUUGUAAACUUCUUUUAUAUGGGAAUAAAAUGUUCCACGUGUGGGCUUUUGUAUGUACCUUAUGAAUAAGGAUCGACUAACUCCGUGCCAGCAGCCGCGGUAAUACGGAGGAUCCGAGCGUUAUCCGGAUUUCUUGGGUUUAAAGGGAGCGUAGGGGGAUUGUUAAGGCAGUUGUGAAAGUUUGCGGCUCAACCGUAAAAUUGCAGUUGAAACUGGCAGUCUUGAGUACAGUAGAGGUGGGCGGAAUGCGUGGUGUAGCGGUGAAAUGCUUAGAGAGCACGAAGAACUCCGAUUGCGAAGGCAGCUCACUGGACUGCAACUGACACUGAGGCUCGAAAGUGUGGGUAUCAAACAGGAUUAGAUACCCCUGUAGUC
rnacentral:rRNA from 1 species